UACGGAGGGUGCAAGCGUUAUUCGGAAUUACUGGGCGUAAAGCGUGCGCAGGCGGUUUUGUAAGUCUGUCGUGAAAGCCCCGGGCUCAACCUGGGAAUUGCGAUGGAGACUGCAAGGCUUGAAUCUGGCAGAGGGGGGUAGAAUUCCACGUGUAGCAGUGAAAUGCGUAGAGAUGUGGAGGAACACCGAUGGCGAAGGCAGCCCCCUGGGUCAAGAUUGACGCUCAUGCACGAAAGCGUGGGGAGCAAACAGG
rnacentral:rRNA from 1 species